rnacentral:lncRNA from 1 species
GGAGGCGGCGCGGUAGAAGAGGCCGGCGCAGGCAGGUGCAGCCCACCGGCCGUGGAGAUCAUCGGAGUGGUGGUGGGGGACGACGGCGCAACGGUGGAGACGGGCGGCGGUGAUGACAUGAUCGAACCAGAGCCUCGUGAUACCAAACUGGUAGAAACUAGGGUUCUACCGGCCCUCUGCCUUAGGUUAUAAGGAUAGGAGGGAGGUUGGAGGAGACGAGGGCGCUGCGGCCGGCGCGACGGCGCCGUCCCGAUGUAGGGAGGAGGCGACGGCNNUGGCUAGGGUUAGGGUUCCGGCUCCUCUGGGAGUCGGGCAAUAGAAUUGUCUUAUUGCUUGAUUCCAAAAGAGUUGUUUACAUCGGUUUAUAUAAUCUCGAUAACUUGAACUCUAAGAUAACUAA